GUCUCUGUAGCUCAGUUGGUUAUAGCGCUGCACCAGAAUUGCUACCCUGGAUUCCAGAGCCUUCGCGACACUUCAAUUUAUUAUUUACUGUCGAAGGCUCUGGAAUCCAGGGUACAGAAUUGCAGGGCCGCAGGUUCAAUUCCUGCCAGGGACC
rnacentral:tRNA from 1 species